GGAGAAUGCAAUUACUCACAAGUGCCAUAUGCAGUCUUUGAAAGCUUUUUUGAAGGAAUCCGUGAUUCUUCAGCCGCUUUGCCAUCUUCUCCAGAGGUGUGCUGAGGAUUUCACACAACACAGCAGGAGGCACGUAAGGUUAUUCCAGCCUGGUUAGAUGGAAGAAAUGCUGUGACCAGGAAAGAUGCCAGCGAGUCAGGGCUGGGCAAUUACUACAGCUGUUCAAAGAAGCACACUGGGCAGUAAUGAAUACCUGUCAUGCUUUCCCAGAAGCAAAAAUACAGCUAUUUGACAAAAAGGCUGACAGUGUUCUGUAAUAUUAUAAAGAACAGAAGACCAUCUCCAAUAGCACAAUAAACUGCUUGGAUGCUUUUUCUCUGCCUUUAAAUGAAGAACCAGAACAAGAGGCAUACGUGUAUGGAAGGAGCAUGGCGUGCUUCCAACCACAACAGUCCUUGCUUCUUUCAAAGUUACACCAUGAGCACUUUCUGUCUGACCACUCCUCAAAAGGUGACAGUCUUUAGGCCCUUAGACAGCAAAAGAGAAUGAAAGGGAGUCAAUGAAAAAAUACCUUCCAACUCUUCAAGCCUGGGUUAGUGUUUUU
rnacentral:lncRNA from 1 species